ACCGUUGCCCUCCUUCGCAACUCUUUUUCUUUUUUCUUUUUAAAAAAACCUUGAAAACUCUGCUCGUCCAUUCGGCUUCCUGCGAUUCUUCUUCUUUCACUUACUCAUUCUCUUCCAUUCAUUGUAACUGGCGCCUCUUAUCUUCUAUUUUGAAUUUUGAAUUCUUUCUCUGAUUAUUCUUUCAUUUGUUCUCUAUUUGAUUUCUUCGUUUCUGCAACAUGCGGGUGCAGCAAUUUUCUCAGAGCGGCAAUUUCCCUCAAUGAUUAGGCGAUGCAACUUACCGGGAGUAAAGCCCUCGGUGGAGGCGACCGUACAUUUGCUUUUUCAGAAGUUUGAUUUAGGUUUUAGCCGACACAGUCCCCACUUCUCUCUUUUCUAUGCCGAGAAAGGUUAGCUGUCGCUUUUUGUUCCAUGAUUUUGCUUCAUCUCACCUGUUGAAGAGACAUUGGCCAUCUUUGGCCACAAUAAGCCUGAGAGGAGAGAUUUUUCUUCAUCUCAACCGCUCAGCAGUUCUUGAUUCAUGAAUCAUAACUUGUGCUGAUGACGCCCCUUACUUGAGUCUGUAGGUAUAUUUUUUCAGCUAUUGUCUAUUUUUGCUGGUAUGUAUCUAUCUGUAAAUUUUUUUGAAGGAACUAAUCAUUAACUCAGUCAUUUGCUUCGUUUUUUCGUACAACCUCAAAUAUGCAGUCCCUACAAAAUUUCAAGUUCAUGACUAACAACGCUGACAUGUUAAGCUGCCUACCUAUGGAGUAAAUUCAUCAUGCAGAUGCCUAUCUAUUGAUUGUCCUCAGAAAAAAAAAAAUUAUGUGCACUCUAAGUUAGUUGAUUCAAAACUAUUUUUCCUCUCUCCUCUCAGCAAAUCUACAAAUGUCUUGCUACUUCUGGGCAAAGUGGUUGCAUAUGCAUUGACAUUAACGGGUUUUCUUUAUUGCCAAGUGACACCAACCCUGAGACCUGAGGAAUCUUUAAGAUGCCUAUCUACGGAAUGUUAUGGGGUUUUUGCAGUGGUUCAGUUCCAUCCACGAUCACAAGACUGGGAUUUAGAACAAAAAGAGGCGAACACUAUCUAUAGCUGAUCAGGAGUUGGUACUUUAUCAAAUCCAGAAUAAUAUAUGCAAGUGCCACUGUUAUGAUAUCCUUUAAUCCUAACUUAUUUUUCAUUUUGGAGAAAAACCUUUAGACGUUGUUUUGUUUGGUGACACCACUCUGAAUGCUGUGAAUGACAAGAAUUCAGAUAUUGUGCCUCCUGUAGUUGUUGUCAUCAUCCAAAUGUGUGUUUUGGGAUUCUACAAAGGUGAAUCUGUUAUUUUUCCUUAUUCUUCAUUCUUAAUUUAUCAGCCCAGCAUUUUUUAAAAUGUUAUUUCCUUCACUUCUAGGCAAUCCUCAACUUUCAAGCUAUGGUGAUGCUACUGAGGUUUUUUAUAAUGAUGACAGAAUAAUUUAAUCAGAAAAAACUGUUCAAGAGUUGCUUGCUUAGGUUUGCAGAAUAAUUUAAUCAGAAAUUAUCCUUCAUCAGACAGGUAGACAAGUUGAUACUAUCAAUUCCUACAGGAUUCAUGUGUAUACGAUAUUUUUUCCCCGGAGUUCAAGGAAAAGAUAUUUCCCUAGAACACUUCAUAUUCUUACUGGAAGAGAGAUGGUCAUGAGGUCAAGAUCGGUGAAUUCAACCUUCGGCAUAAAACAUCUUCUCUUAGUGUGUCUCAAUGCUGUGAUGACCCAGAGAUCCUGGAGAAGUCUACAUACUCCAAAGCACAGGCUUCUAUUUUCGCCUCAUUUGACAAUGAUCAGCUCCUUUCCUCUCUAAGGAACUUCCUGUCAUGACAGUCUCCCCAUCUAUGUGUUCCUGAAUCAUACUGUCUUCACCAACGCUAUGCAAUGGCCAAUAACAAUGGUAUGGUUCUUUUUAUUCUUCUGUUCUUUGCACUAAUUUCAUUAAACUAACAUCUGACUACUCCCAUAAAAAAAAAAAAAAAAACAGAUCAUUGACAUCUCUGGUCAAGAAAAGAAAGGCUGCCAGAAUAAACAAAUUAAGAAGCCAGGAAUAUUGAAUUGUAAACAAAUUAAGAAUAAACAAUUUUUUUCCUUAUCCUAUAACAUAUCUAUUCGUUCGCGGGUAUUUAUUAAGGAAAAAUGUUUUCCAAUGUUGAAUUGUUAGUAUCAAUAUCAUUAAUAACAAUGUAUUUACCUAUGUAAAGUCCUUUAUUACAAUCCUUAUAUUCUGUGUUGUUUAUGCAUAAAUAAUUUCUUUAUGAAUUUAUUGAGUAUUGGAAAUUAUUACGUAAUAAUGAAAUAAAUAACAUCACAUCACAAACUUCAACAGCUUUGUAAUUGAAACGCAAAAAUAAAAUAUUAAAUAAUAUUUAAUUAGAUCAACUUAAUCAAGACACUUUUCACAAGUAAAGAUGAUCGUGUUUUACUAAGGGUAAUUUUAAUUAUUUACAAUACAAAUUAACCUUAAGAUUCUUAAUGUUAAGUAUUUUUACUAAAUAAAUUUAUUAACUGAAUCCAUCUAAUAAGAAAACAUAUUCGUAUGUUUUGAUUUGCGUACUAAACACUGCAGAAUUUGUAUAGUUUUCCCCAAUUUAUUCGUAUCAUAUUAAUUGUGUAUACUAAUGAGUUGUAUAAUCAUUGACAUCAAAACAAUUAGUUGAUAUAGUUAUUAUUAAGCAUUAAAAACUCAGAUUCAUAUUCAUUGACUUUUUUUUUUUUUAAAAUUGUUUGGACUAAUUUAAAUGAUGCUACUCUUUCAUAAUGGAGUGAUCGUAAGAUAGAGGCACUUGAGGAUAAAAGAAUUUGAAAUCUUUACAUUCUUAUUAGUAAGCUUUGCAUGAUAUUUUUGUUGUAAUGUUUUAACAACUAUCUUCUUCGGUGAUUGGCAUAAAGGGUAGAAAGGGAUUCCUUGCUAUUUAAGUGAUUUUCUUCAUUUCUUAAUUGAUUCUCCUAUAGGAAACACCUUAUAAGGAGCGGGACAGUGACAAAGACUAAUUGAUCUAAAAUUGAAGAGCAUACUGCAUGUAAUAGAUAUUUGUACCAUAUAUCGUUAUUUGUUAUUUUUAUUAAUGUAUGAAUUUAAUGGUUUCUCAUACAAAUACUUCUACCACAUCAUUCAUAAUGAUCAUAUGUAGUUAGUUUAUUUUUAAGAUUUGACCAUGAUUUUUUUUUAUAUCAAAUCUUAUUGUUUUUUUUUAUAUUGAUUGUACAUUUGGAAAAUGUAAGUUAAGGGGGAAAAGUAGAUAUACUUCUAGAAUUGUCUUCAAUGUAGUGGUAUUAUUAUUGUUAUUAUUAUUAUUAAAUAUUGAUGCCUAAGAUGCUUCACUCAAUUCUCUUGUGUAUAAUCCGUGCAAUGCACGAGAGCCAGUCUAUUGGGGGGGGGGGGUGGAAGAAAAUGUUCAGAGUGGAAUAUUUACCUGCAUACGGUCUAUUGCAUGAGAAAGUAGCAUUAGAGAAUGGUCGAUGUAGUUUGUUCUUCUCUUUUUGGCGAAACAUAGUUGGAUUAGAACCUUGGUUAUCAGUGGUGGGGAUACUUUACCGGUUUGUUGCAGGAUAUGGUAUCCGAUUAUUAUAUGCGGAAGCUAGAGGAGGUCAAUGGAUUUCAACCAAGUAUGCUAUAUUUCCUGCUUUUACCUUCCAUGAGGCAGUUGAGAUUAUAAAAGUAUUAUCAAGUGCUUGUACACGUUGAGGAGCCAAUUUAUAAAGGGUUGAUGAGCAAAUAGGAUCUUGAAUUAUUGUUGGAAAAUCGUCCUGAAUUCUGAACUCUUAAAAUGUACAAAAUAAACUCUAAACUUUUAAAUUUAUAACAAAAUAAAUUCUGAUAGCUAACUUUUUAACACUGUUACCGUCUAUGUAGGUACUGUUCAGGCUUUAUUUUUUAUGAAUUUAACUCUGACUGUUACAAUAUCUGUAUGGACAAAAACGGUGUUAAAAAAGUUAUUAGGGUUUAUUUUGCUAUAAAUUUAAAAGUUUAGGGUUUAUUUUACAUAUUUUAAGAAUUCAAGGUUUAGGGCAAUUUCGAAUAAGAGUUCAAGAUUUUAUUCACUCAUUAACCUAUUUAUAAAUAAUGUGGGUGUUGUGUGCCACAGCAAUGUGUUAACCAUGCUGAGUUUGAUAAUUUUUAAAAGCUCUUGAUCUGUUUACACACUGAGAUUAAUAAUGAGAUUGCUCAUUUCAAUUGACAAA